AUCAGGACCUAUAGACACCUGGACCAACCUGGAGAGAACACAGUAUUAUAUCAGGACCUAUAGACACCUGGACCAACCUGGAGAGAGCACAGUAUCAUAUCAGGACCUAUAGACACCUGGACCAACCUGGAGAGAACACAGUAUUAUAUCAGGACCUAUAGACACCUGGACCAACCUGGAGAGAACACAGCAUUAUAUCAGGACCUAUAGACACCUGGACCAACCUGGAGAGAACACAGCAUUAUAUCAGGACCUAUAGACACCUGGACCAACCUGGAGAGAACACAGCAUUAUAUCAGGACCUAUAGACACCUGGACCAACCUGGAGAGAACACAGUAUUAUAUCAGGACCUAUAGACACCUGGACCAACCUGGAGAGAACACAGCAUUAUAUCAGGACCUAUAGACACCUGGACCAACCUGGAGAGAACACAGUAUUAUAUCAGGACCUAUAGACACCUGGACCAACCUGGAGAGAACACAACAUUAUAUCAGGACCUAUAGACACCUGGACCAACCUGGAGAGAACACAGCAUUAUAUCAGGACCUAUAGACACCUGGACCAACCUGGAGAGAACACAGCAUUAUAUCAGGACCUAUAGACACCUGGACCAACCUGGAGAGAACACAGCAUUAUAUCAGGACCUAUAGACACCUGGACCAACCUGGAGAGAACACACCAUUAUAUCAGGACCUAUAGACACCUGGACCAACCUGGAGAGAACACAGCAUUAUAUCAGGUCCUAUAGACACCUGGACCAACCUGGAGAGAACACAGCAUUAUAUCAGGACCUAUAGACACCUGGACCAACCUGGAGAGAACACAACAUUAUAUCAGGACCUAUAGACACCUGGACCAACCUGGAGAGAAGACAGCAUUAUAUCAGGACCUAUAGACACCUGGACCAACCUUGAGAGAACACAGUAUUAUAUCAGGACCUAUAGACACCUGGACCAACCUGGAGAGAACACAGCAUUAUAUCAGGACCUAUAGACACCUGGACCAACCUGGAGAGAACACAGCAUUAUAUCAGGACCUAUAGACACCUGGACCAACCUGGAGAGAACACAGCAUUAUAUCAGGACCUAUAGACACCUGGACCAACCUGGAGAGAACACAGCAUUAUAUCAGGACCUAUAGACACCUGGACCAACCUGGAGAGAACACAGUAUUAUAUCAGGACCUAUAGACACCUGGACCAACCUGGAGAGAACACAGUAUCAUAUCAGGACCUAUAGACACCUGGACCAACCUGGAGAGAACACAGUAUUAUAUCAGGACCUAUAGACACCUGGACCAACCUGGAGAGAACACAGUAUUAUAUCAGGACCUAUAGACACCUGGACCAACCUGGAGAGAACACAGCAUUAUAUCAGGACCUAUAGACACCUGGACCAACCUGGAGAGAACACACCAUUAUAUCAGGACCUAUAGACACCUGGACCAACCUGGAGAGAACACAGCAUUAUAUCAGGACCUAUAGACACCUGGACCAACCUGGAGAGAACACAGCAUUAUAUCAGGACCUAUAGACACCUGGACCAACCUGGAGAGAACACAGUAUUAUAUCAGGACCUAUAGACACCUGGACCAACCUGGAGAGAACACAACAAGAUGAGGAUCCUGCUGAUAGUCAUCCUCCUCUCCUUCAUGACAGGUACCUCAGUGGUCAUCAUGGUGUCUGUUAGUCUGGUAGUGUUACUGCUGGUGAUCAGCCUGAUCAUAGUCUACAGAUGGAAAUACAAAAAGGUCACAGGAUCUGUCUCUUCAACACACAGAGUGAGUCCAGAAACAGGAAACAACGAAGGGGGUUGUCAUGGUGACGGUGACUAUGAAGAGAUAAAGGAGAGCCCCCUAAGGUCAGACUCAGGCGCUGUGACCUCCACCAUCUACGCCACCGUCAACUUACCCACAAGCCACUCUGACUCUCUCCACUACGCCAGAGUCAACUUCCACAAGAACCCCAGAUGCCCCAACGAAGCCACUGACACCAUUACUAAAGAGGGCACUUCAUCAUGAGACUAUGCUACUGUGAACUUUGGUCAAAGCCCCACCUACUCUACUGUCAAUCAUCCACACAGCUCCUCUGAGGCUCCUCCCAUCUAUUCCACAAUCAGCAAACCCAGAGACACUUGAGUCACUGGCAACCAAUUACAAAAGACAUACGCACACUGGCAACCAAUCACAAGAGACAUACACACACUGGCAACCAAUUACAAAAGACAUACACACACUGGCAACCAAUCACAAGAGACAUACACACACUGGCAACUAUUCACAACAUACAUACACACACUUGCAACCAAUCACAAGCGACAUACACAAACACACUGGCAAACCCAGGCCUUUUCUCAGUUAGAUAUACUCUACUUCUGCGUCCUCUCUCCUGCGUCCUCUCUCCUUCUCGACUCACCCAUCAGGCAAAUAAAAUUUUUACAAUUACAUUUACCUGAUGGGUCGAUCCCAAAUAAACCUGUAAAGUGAUAAAAACGAAUUAAGCUAGUUGAGCAGACACUCUAUAGAUAAAAGGACAAGUAGCAUAUCGUUUUAAACGAUUAAAAAAUUGUUUAGCAUAUGUGUUUUCUACUCUGACAAUAAAUCAGCUGAUUCAGAGAGGGGGUGUCAGACAUCAAAACUUUUCCAUACCAGGAUACACCUGUGUUUAUUCACCAAAAGGUGGAAGGGAGGACCGUCUUCUGUUUGCCUACUAACACUGAGGAGAGAGGAUGGAGGAGAGAGAACGGAGGAUAGAGGACGGAGGAGAUAGGACGAAGGAGAUGGGACGGAGGAGAGGGGACGGACGAGAGGGGACGGAGGACAGAGGAGAGAGGACGAAGGAGAUGGGACGGAGGAGAGGGGACGGAGGAGAGGGGACGGAGGAGAGAGAACGGAGGACGGAGGAGAGAGGACAGAGGAGAGAGGACAGAGGAUAGGGGACGGAGGAGAGGGGACGGAGGAGAGAGAACAGAGAAGAGAGGACAGAGGAGAUAAGACGAAGGAGAUGGGACGGAGGAGAGGGGACGGACGAGAGGGGACGGAGGACGGAGGAGAGAGGACGAAGGAGAUGGGACGGAGGAGAGGGGACGGAGGAGAGGGGACGGAGGAGAGGGGACGGAGGACGGAGGAGAGAGGACAGAGGAGAGAGGACAGAGGAGAGGGGACGGAGGAGAGGGGACGGAGGAGAGAGAACAGAGAAGAGAGGACAGAGGAGAGGGGACGGAGGAGAGGGGACGGAGGAGAGGGGACGGAGGAGAGGGGACGGAGGAGAGAGGACGGAGGACUGACUUUUGCCCAAACGAAAAAGGCCCCAGAGACACCUGAGCCACUGGAAACCACUCACAAAGGCCAUACACACACUGGCGACCAAUCAAAAGGGACGUAUGUUAACUAUAUGCACUGACCUCUAUUUUUAGCUAAUCGCUCUCUCUCCCUCUCUCAUUCUCUGUCUUAGCUUCUCUCUUCUCUGUCAUUCUCUGUCAUUAUUGCUCUCUCUCCCCCCUCUUUCUCUCUUUCUCCUCGCCCCCCCCUCUCUCUCGCUCUCUCUCGUCUCUCUUUCUCCUCGCUCUCUCACCCCCCCCUUCUCCCCCCCCUCUCUCUCAGCCCCCCCUCUCCUCUCCAUCUCUUAGACACAACCAGACAGUAGCAGGCCUUGUUUCCUACGUACUUCUCCAAAUGGUUUGCUGACAGGGACAGGCUAUAAAGACACAGCUGACACUCAAACCUACAAGCCAAAACAUUAACCCUACUCUUAAUUAACUAAACCCUAAAUUUAACCAAACUCUUAACACUGACCCUAACCCUUACAUUAACCAAGCCCUGAACACUGACCAUAACCCUUCCCUUAACCCUAACCUUAAUCAAACCCUUAACACUGACCCUAACCCUUAACCCUAACCUUAACCAAACCCUUAACACUGACCCUAACCCUUACAUUAACCAAGCCCUGAACACUGACCAUAACCCUUACCUUAACCCUAACCUUAAUCAAACCCUUAACACUGACCCUAACCCUUAACCCUAACCUUAACCAAACCCUUAACACUGACCUUCACCCUUACCCUAAUCUUAAUCAAACCCUUAACCCUUACCCUAACCUAAGUAUAAUAAAUUCUGAAAUGAAAUAUCCUUUGGGCGUCCCUUAUAGGCUUUUCCUUGCUUCCACAGUCACUUAGCUACUUCCUGUUCUCUCAGUGACAGUGAGUGUGAAUGUCUUGAAAGUAUGAGACGCCCGGUGCCUGCCCAUGUUGGCGGAGAUAUCACUUGAUUUGCAAUUUAAGAGCCCGGCGGCAAACGCUCAAAACGAACAGCGAGACUCGAUGUAGGGGUGGAGUCUGGAAAAAUACAACAACAAACUCCGCCUUCGCAGUUUACAUUGUUCAAAACGAGCGCAGUAGAGCGUAAUGUUAAUCCGUCAUCUUUUUAUUUAAUGGUUGUUAUUUUAUCUUUGUGAUUUUAUGAUUUUACCAGGUUUUUAUAUAAUUUAGCGUUGUACAUUUUUACCUAAAUAAAAAACAGAUCUGACUUCCCUAUACCCUUCCUCCCGACAGCAUCUAUUAUAUUGACAAGAUAUUGGACUGUCUGCUCUAACGAUGGGAAUAAAUGUCCGCAAAGGCGGAAGGCAGGCGGGAUAUAAAAUGUAUUUUUCUCAAAGCCCUGGUGUCCACUUAUAUCAGUAAAUUCAUAACAGCCAAAACAUUCCGAAAAUGUUCAUUUGAUCAAAUAAGCCUCAAUUUCACGUUGACAAUGAGAUUCGAACUCACAACCAUCCAACCAUCCAAACACCCUACUUUCGUUUUUGCCUUAAGUAACCAUCUGUCUUAUGUAAACAUACCAUAUCAUAUUAUUUGGGGUAUCCUGAAUGUGUGUUUACUAUGUUACAUCUAGUCUGUGAGACCAGGGGCCUGUUGCACAAAAGUAGAAUUAAGACAUCCGGGAUAAAUGACUCAGCUGAGCUCAAUGAAGCCAAAACAUGUGCGUCCAGGCUUAAUUGGUUGCACAAAGACCAAGCCAGGAUGAGCAGACACGGAUUCAUUAAGCCAGGUGAAACCAAUCCUGGAUAGGUGCGCGCUCACGGCUCACUCAAAUAGACCCCGCCACAGAUCACAGAUUAACUGAUUUACCAUGGCAACUAGAGCCGCGUACUUUUCCCCGUCGGAAGCACAAAUCCUCAUGGAGGCAUACGAGGAGGUAAAAUAUAUAAUUAAGAAGAAAGGCAACACCGCCACAGUGAUAAAGCAAAGAGAAAAAGCGUGGCAAAGUAUUGCAGACCGCCUGAAUGCAUUAAACAUGAACGGGCCAAAACGGACAUGGCAGCAGGUCAAAAUCAAAUACAAGAACAUUCUGCAGAAUGCAGUGAAAAAGAAUACCCACAGACAAGGCACGGGUGGUGGGUCACCAAAGGCUGACCUUACCCCAGCAGAGGACAUGGCCUUGGAGCUAAAUAAAGGCAGGCCCGUCUUAGAGGGGAUCCCUGGGGGGGAAAGAGACGAGCAUAGGUUCCUCCCAAGAUGCCACCCGCUUCAUUCAAGUGUCUGGCAGCACUGUGUUCCUGUUAGAGCCACCAGCACAAGCACCAGACGAUGCUGAUCCAGGUGAAGGCCCCAGUGCAGCAGCAACAGCACAUGAUGGAGACGAUGAUGAGGAGGAGACCAUCUCUCUGGAUUCCAGAAGGCAUGAGGACCCAGAUGCUAUACAGUGGGAAAACCAGCCUGGCAACAUAAGCUCACAAGCUAUCAGAAAGUUGUAUGGCAACCACCUCCGGCGCCAAAUAGAACUGGCAGACAUAGACAUUCAGUACAAGAAGAAAAAGAUGGAAAAUCUUGCACUGGAGUCCGA
rnacentral:lncRNA from 1 species